CCACCUCCUCUUCUGUCUCUUCUGUUUUCCCUUUAUACUUUCAUUCCAUGUACCAAAAUGAAAUACUCCAAUUUUUUUUUCCUCCUUUCUUCCCUAGCUACUGGAGACACAUUCACUCUUCUGUUUGGUGAUCAAGGGAUUAUCAGUGUUUAGGGUUACAUGAGGUUCUACAUGCCCUAUUGAUGAGAACUGCAGUACCAACAUAGUAAAAUUCAUGAGAAAAAAAUCCAGUCAGUAUUAUGUGAUGCUAAACUAUGCCAGCUUCAGAACAUAUUUCCCUUUUAAAUAAAUAGUCCUCAUAUUGUGAACAUGAUUUCUACAGCUUGCUCUAAGGAGACGUUUUCUCCAGGGCAAGCUAGAAUCCAUAUGAAUAUUUUAUAUAUAACUUACAGAAUUAAGAACAUCACUCAGUAGUUCUCCAGAAUUUUAGAGUAAUUGAGGUCAACAUGGAAUCCUCUGGAUGAGGGAAUCUACCCACAAGCAGGAAAAUGCAACAGAAAAUAAAUGAAGAAACAUGGUUCAUCGGACAGUGAAAAUCAAUGAUGGGGAAAUGGACCAUUUUUGCCUCAGACAUUUUUCACUGCUCACUGAGUCCAGUUCACCUGCUUGUGGUUGUUAACUUGGCAAUUCUUCUACUUUGGAACUAUGCCAAAAUUCUCUCUUCAAAGAAGAAAAAUAAGAGGCAUAAAUAUUGGCUUGAAAUACGAUAGAAUGCAAGAACUUUUGCUUUGGCAGUAGAACAGUUUUAUAAGAAUUGAGGCUAAUUUCAUAAUCUUUAGCAAUGCAGAUAUGUAUCUUUAGUCUCAUGAAGAUUGUAAUUCCUUGCCAAGGUUCAUGGUGGAUUCUAUUAACAGACUGAAAAUAUUCAGCAUCUACACAAAGAGACAGAUCUGUUCGUAGACAACUAAAUCUUAUUAAGAGAAGAAAUUUGAACCCUUUAACCAGCAGUGGGCCUCUACCUACGGUCUAAUGCGACCUGGUGGCAUUGAACUUGGACGCAAUAACCUGAGUAAGACUUCUAAGAAAAAGUACAGUUGACACUUGAACAAUACAGAUUUGAACCGCGUGGAUCCAUUUACAGAUCGAUUUCCUCCCAAGUCAGCAACCCCUCAGAAAGCAAGACCAGCCCCUCCUUUUCCUCCUCCUCCUCAGCUUACUCAACGUGAAGACAAAGACGAUGAAGACCUUUAUGAGGAUCCACUUUCACUUAAU
rnacentral:lncRNA from 1 species